CCUACGGGAGGCAGCAGUGGGGAAUAUUGCACAAUGGGGGAAACCCUGAUGCAGCCACGCCGCGUGAGUGAAGAAGUAUCUCGGUAUGUAAAGCUCUAUCAGCAGGGAAGAAGAAAGACGGUACCUGACUAAGAAGCCCCGGCUAACUACGUGCCAGCAGCCGCGGUCAUACGUAGGGGGCAAGCGUUAUCCGGAUUUACUGGGUGUAAAGGGAGCGUAGACGGCUGGGGAAGUCUGAAGUGAAAGCCCGUGGCUCAACCGCGGAACUGCUUUGGAACCUGUAUAGCUUGAGGACGGGAGAGGAAGGGGGAAUUGCGGGGGUAGCGGGGAAAGGCGUGGAAAUUAGGAGGAACACCAGUGGCGAAGGCGGCCUGCGGGACAGAAACGGAGGUGGAGGCUCGAAAGCGUGGGGAGCAAACAGGAUUAGAUACCCCGGAGUC
rnacentral:rRNA from 1 species